UGGCCCUACGGGACGCAGCAGUGGGGAAUAUUGCACAAUAGGGGAAACCCUGAUGCAGCGACGCCGCGUGAAGGAAGAAGUAUCUCGGUAUGUAAACUUCUAUCAGCAGGGAAGAAAAUGACGGUACCUGACUAAGAAGCUCCGGCUAAAUACGUGCCAGCAGCCGCGGUAAUACGUAGGGGGCGAGCGUUAUCCGGAAUUACUGGGUGUAAAGGGAGCGUAGACGGCGAGGUAAGCCUGAAGUGGAAGCCCGCGGCCCAACCGCGGAACUGCUUUGGGAACUGUUUUGCUGGAGUAUGGGAGGG
rnacentral:rRNA from 1 species